GAUGAACGCUGGCGGCGUGCCUAAUACAUGCAAGUCGAGCGAACAGACGAGGAGCUUGCUCCUCUGACGUUAGCGGCGGACGGGUGAGUAACACGUGGAUAACCUCCCUAUAAGACUGGGAUAACUUCGGGAAACCGGAGCUAAUACCGGAUAAUAUAUUGAACCGCAUGGUUCAAUAGUGAAAGACGGUUUUGCUGUCACUUAUAGAUGUAUCCGCGCCGCAUUAGCUAGUUGGUAAGGUAACGGCUUACCAAGGCAACGAUGCGUAGCCGACCUGAGAGGGUGAUCGGCCACACUGGAACUGAGACACGGUCCAGACUCCUACGGGAGGCAGCAGUAGGGAAUCUUCCGCAAUGGGCGAAAGCCUGACGGAGCAACGCCGCGUGAGUGAUGAAGGUCUUCGGAUCGUAAAACUCUGUUAUUAGGGAAGAACAAAUGUGUAAGUAACUAUGCACGUCUUGACGGUACCCAAUCAGAAAGCCACGGCUAACUACGUG
rnacentral:rRNA from 1 species